rnacentral:rRNA from 1 species
CACGUAGGGCGCAAGCGUUGUCCGGAAUUAUUGGGCGUAAAGAGCUCGUAGGCGGUCUGUUGCGUCCGCUGUGAAAACUCGGGGCUUAACCCCGAGCCUGCAGUGGAUACGGGCAGACUAGAGGUAGGUAGGGGAGAAUGGAAUUCCCGGUGUAGCGGUGAAAUGCGCAGAUAUCGGGAGGAACACCGGUGGCGAAGGCGGUACUCUGGGCCUUACCUGACGCUGAGGAGCGAAAGCGUGGGGAGCGAACAGG